rnacentral:rRNA from 1 species
GACGAACGCUGGCGGCGUGCUUAACACAUGCAAGUCGAACGGAAAGGCCCUGCUUUUGUGGGGUGCUCGAGUGGCGAACGGGUGAGUAACACGUGAGUAACCUGCCCUUGACUUUGGGAUAACUUCAGGAAACUGGGGCUAAUACCGGAUAGGAGCUCCUGCUGCAUGGUGGGGGUUGGAAAGUUUCGGCGGUUGGGGAUGGACUCGCGGCUUAUCAGCUUGUUGGUGGGGUAGUGGCUUACCAAGGCUUUGACGGGUAGCCGGCCUGAGAGGGUCACCGGCCACAUUGGGACUGAGAUACGGCCCAGACUCCUACGGGAGGCAGCAGUGGGGAAUAUUGCACAAUGGGCGGAAGCCUGAUGCAGCAACGCCGCGUGCGGGAUGACGGCCUUCGGGUUGUAAACCGCCUUCGCCUGUGACGAAGCGUGAGUGACGGUAAUGGGUAAAGAAGCACCGGCUAACUACGUG